rnacentral:rRNA from 1 species
CAAUAGCGUAUAUUAAAGUUGUUGCAGUUAAAAAGCUCGUAGUUGGACUUGUGGAUAGAGCGAUCGGCCCGACACAAUGUGUGGGUGCUGGAUUGUCUCUGUCCAUCCUUGGGUGGAAUCUGUGUGGCAUUAGGUUGUCGUGCAGGGGAUGCCCAUCAUUUACUGUGAAAAAAUUAGAGUGUUCAAAGCAGGCUUACGCCGUUGAAUAUAUUAGCAUGGAAUAAUGAGAUAGGACCUGGGUACUAUUUUGUUGGUUUGUGCACCUAGGUAAUGAUUAAUAGGGACAAUUGGGGGCAUUCGUAUUCCAUUGUAAGAGGUGAAAUUCUUGGAUUUCUGGAAGACGAACUACUGCGAAAGCAUUUGCCAAGGAUGUUUUCAUUAA